UAUAUACAGGGGGUACCGGUACUGAGUCAGUGUGGAGGUUAUAUACAGGGGGUACCAGUACUGAGUCAGUGUGGAGGCUAUAUACAGGGGGUACCAGUACUGAGUCAAUGUGGAGGUUAUAUACAGGGGGUACCGGUACUGAGUCAGUGUGGAGGCUAUAUACAGGGGGUACCGGUACAGAGUCAGUGUGGAGGCUAUAUACAGGGGGCACCGGUACUGAGUCAGUGUGGAGGCUAUAUACAGGGGGUACCGGUACAGAGUCAGUGUGGAGGUUAUAUACAGGGGGUACCGGUACUGAGUCAAUGUGGAGGUUAUAUACAGGGGGUACCGGUACUGAGUCAGUGUGGAGGCUAUAUACAGGGGGUACCGGUACUGAGUCAAUGUGGAGGUUAUAUACAGGGGGUACCGGUACUGAGUCAAUGUGGAGGUUAUAUACAGGGGGUACCGGUACCGAGUCAGCGUGGAGGCUAUGUACAGGGGGCACCGGUACCGAGUCAGCGUGGAGGUUAUAUACAGGGG
ensembl:lncRNA